AUGGCAGCCACCAGCGACAAACGCCGGAAGGAUGUACCCGUACUCGAGCACGGACUCGAGCACAACGGCGACAUACGCCUCCUCCCAACGUCAACCGCACGCUCGUACGCGCGCCCGCGGUCCCCGAUGCUUCCAGUGCGCACCCAUAACACGCACCGGUCGCGCCCGGCUCGCCGUGACGGCUUAUUGCCCUGCAAUGCUGCGGCCUCAACCGCAGCACAUCACCUCCAUGCCGCUGUGUGUCGUUGA
rnacentral:rRNA from 1 species